CGUCUAUAUUCUUCAUGUUAAAUUUCUUCUGUCAGGUUGUAUUUGAAGGUAUCCGUGAAGAAAGUCACCAAGGUGGCAUAGCCAUUGAUGACAUUCAUUUCCUCGAUGGAAUAUGCCCUGGAAACAAGGAUGAAGACUAAAGAUGCAAGGUAUUGUCAAAACAUAUUUGUUCUUAUGUUUGUAGAAAACAUCUCGUUUUUCAGUUUUCCAUGCUCGAGCACAGAAAAAAGUGCAGAAACUUAAUAUUGUUCUAUUAAUUUUUUUCAGGUUUGAAAAAUACAGCACCGAAAGAAUGACUUGUUGUACUAAACUUGUAUUUGUUAAAAUGGCUUAUAACAGUAAAAUUCAAUAAAAUAAGAAGAACGACUUUUAAUUUUUUGGGUUUGAGUAAUAAUUAAUAUAAAAAACCUUUGCAUGGAG